rnacentral:rRNA from 1 species
GGAGGAAAGCAGGGGAUCGCAAGACCUUGCGCUUUUGGAGCGGCCGAUGUUUGAUUAGCUUGUUGGUAAAGUAAAAGCUUACCAAGGCUUCGAUCAGUAGCUGGUCUGAGAGGACGACCAGCCACACUGGGACUGAGACACGGCCCAGACUCCUACGGGAGGCAGCAGUGGGGAAUUUUGGACAAUGGGGGCAACCCUGAUCCAGCCAUGCCGCGUGAGUGAAGAAGGCCUUCGGGUUGUAAAGCUCUUUCAGCCGGAACGAAACGGUUACGGUUAAUACCCGUGACUACUGACGGUACCGGAAGAAGAAGCACCGGCUAACUACGUGCCAGCAGCCGCGGUAAUACGUAGGGUGCGAGCGUUAAUCGGAAUUACUGGGCGUAAGGCGUGCGCAGGUGGUUUUGUAAGUCAGAUGUGAAAUCCCCGGGCUCAACCUGGGAACUGCGUUUGAAACUACAAAGCUAG